rnacentral:lncRNA from 1 species
CGCGAAGAAAACAGGUUUGUAAAUGAUGUUGUACAUCAUGCAGAUAGCUCAGAAGAAGAAGCAGGAAUGUUUGACUGGAAAUAUAAACGAUGUUGUACAUAAUGCAGAUAGCUUAGG